rnacentral:rRNA from 1 species
UUUAUCGCGAAGAACCUUACCAAGUCUUGACAUCCUUCUGACCGUCCUUUAACAGGGGCUUCUCUUCGGGGCAGGAGAGACAGGUGGUGCAUGGUUGUGGUCAGCUCGUGUCGUGAGAUGUUGGGUUAAGUCCCGCAACGAGCGCAACCCCUAUCUUUAGUAGCCAGCGGUUUGGCUGGGCACUCUAGGGAGACUGCCAGGGAUAACCUGGAGGAAGGCGGGGAUGACGUCAAAUCAUCAUGCCCCUUAUGACUUGGGCUACACACGUGCUACAAUGGCGUAAACAAAGGGAAGCAAAGCCGUGAGGCGGAGCAAAUCUCAAAAAUAACGUCUCAGUUCGGAUUGUAGUCUGCAACUCGCACUUACCAAAUGGA